AAAUCCUAUCAGGUAAGGUCUAGCCAACCGCCUGUACCGAGUCCUUGGAGCCGAAGCGGUAACGCCAGGCUUAAGCGUAGGACAGGGAGCAGCAGAGCCGAAACGAAAGUGAAGUGAUUGAGCUGGGAAAUUAUUAUGAGGUUGGAUACGGUCGAUGUGUUUUUGUCCACAGCAGACAACACGGUCAUGACCGGUAAGGCGAGGUCAUGGCGGCAUCCCCCAGUCUGAGAAC
rnacentral:ncRNA from 1 species